UGCUUCAGACCGUUGUCGUGGGCACUGAGUGAGCGAGCGAGGUAGGCAUGCAUGAUAGCUUUUUCCCAUCCCAUUGUAAAUUCUGUUCUAUUUUAUUUCAGGUCCAGUUGAAUGCUGUGUCCAAUUUUAUAACAAGGUCAUUCCUGCCGACAAGAUUAAAGCCUAUCAGCUCACCCCUAGCUGCCCAACACCGGCGGUGAUCUUCACCACUGUGACGGACAAGAAGAUAUGUGUCAACCCGGAGGACAAGAGGGUGCAGGACAUCAUGGAGAAGUUGGACAACCUGUGGGUCCCCGGGGUCUGACACCCUGGCUCCAGCUCGCUCAGAAGAUGCCUCCAAGACAUAUGCCGUGUGGGACAGGGAACAGGCCAAGUAAACUGUGACUUUUGAUUGCAUUAACACUGUAGUUUUAGUGUGCAUUUCUUUUUUCUGAGAUGUGCUGUAUCUGUGUAGACUGUGCUGUGUCAAGAAUCAGCAUAGUUGAUCAAAUCAGCGUGCAAUUCCGAAGCUUUCACAGGAAAAGAAUGCAGUGUUGAUGCAACACUUAAAGACCAUUUUUACCGUUUUUUUUUUGUUUACCCACUUUUGUAGCGUGAUGUAAAAGUUCUUGUAAAAGUCAUAAGUAACUGCGCACUAGAAAUAACCAACAAAAAUGUAGGCUACUUUAUUGUUUAAGAAAUGGCAUUGUUUUGAUCAUUUAGUCUAGUGGGAUCUUCCUCUUCAAUAAAGAUUGCAUGCAGCAUA